UGCAGGGUGAGUUUCUAGUUGGAUCAGGAGCUGAACACAUCUACUCAGGGUCAGUUUGUCCCUGGACAGGGAAGUGGCAGGAGUGCAAUCCCAGGGUGCAAGAGACAGUCGGGCAGCCCCUUCCAGCAUCAGUUCAGGCAGAUGCUUUCAUCCAAACAUCACUGUGGACACACAGAAUCCUGAUUUAGCCCUGUCUGGACAGACAUACAUUCAUCCUAUUCUGAAACACCUUUCAGGUUUGAGAUUCCCCAGCCGUGGCUGAAGGAUCAGAGCUUGCUCUUGUGCCUGACUGCUACUAGUUUGUUUGACUGCCAGUUUUUUUGGUGGGGGGGAUGUUUUAAUUCUUCCCGGAGCUCCGCCACUGUUUGCAGAAGGGAGACGGUGGCUUCUGACAAUCCCCUAGUAGUCAUGCUGCAGCCUUGUCGGUCUGCUUAUAAAAGGAAGAUAACACCUCUGCCUGGAAACCUUGUCUGGCUUGGUGAUAACCAGAUCCUUGCUACUUAACACACAUUAAAGGGUACCAGGACCUUUGAAGCCUUGCUCACAACGGGAAAGGGCCUUUCCAAUGAAGAAGCUGAAACAAAAGCACCAGAGCAGAAAAGAACAGAGAACCAGUGUCUGCCCAGAAGCCAGGGGACUUCACUGGGAUGUCCACAGGGUCAGCCAAGCCCUGAAGCUGGACAUCUGGAAGAUCCACCUCUACGAAAUGGUCCUGCUGCAUCCUGGCAGCCUGCAGGGAUAAGACAUGCUUCUCCACCUUGGCAGCCCUCGACGUGGUGGGUCUCAUUUGAAGGGCGUGUUGUGGAACGAGAGAUGGCAUGUGACACAGGGCAGGAACCCCUGGUGCAAAACCCAUAGGUCUCAGAGAGAAGGACCGGGCCCACUUCAGACAUCACCCGCUUUGUGUGGACACCUGUAGGAGGAACCACCAUGACAUGAUGGUCUUUGAGUGCAGCAAGAGAACAACUUGACCUGCCAGUAGGGAGGCUGUCAUCUGACUGGCUGUUCAGAGCAAGCUAGGGAAAGAUUAUGGGGACACUUUUGCUAGAAAUCACUGUAAAUUCCACAUAUCUUCUGAUUGCCCCAGGCAGCAUCAGGAAAGCCAAAUAAGAGCAAAACCUGUUUGCUUUCUAAUCUUCCCUGUGAAAUAGGAGCAGCUCAAACCUGGUAAUCCUCAUUUUUAUGGAAAAACAGUUUCCAAAUCUCACAGGGUUAAUUAACUCUCAUUUGCAGAUCUGCUAGCAAGGACAGAACACAGCUCUGAACCUUGUCCAACUAAAGGAGCACUAAGAGAGAUCAGCCACAGCUGAACAAAAGAAUUACAACCUGAGGGGAAGCAGCUGUUGGAUAAGUUUUAAAGGACAGCUGCAGCCUGGCCUAAAGAAGGGAACUGGAAAUGGGGAGACUCUUCUUUAUUAGGCUUAGCUGUGCUUUUGUUCUGCAGCUGGCUGGAUCACAGUGCCCAGGGUUGAGAGCUAACUCCUAUGCCUCUCUGCCCUUCCCUGGGGAAGGAUAAGAGGGGUUUUGUUUCUUCUCUGACGUUCACUGUGGCAAACAAAGCUCAGCAGAACGGCAAGUUUUGCCCAUUUCUGGCUGGCAGUGGGAAAAGCAAGGCAAUGGGAUUUGGAGCUGCUGGUCCUGUGUUGAGUGCUGAGAUGAGCCCAGAGGCAAUGGACAGGUAAAGGAGAAUGAGGAUGGGGAACCUGUUGCCUUCUACUUUGGAGGGGAUGCACAGAAAAGAGGAAUAUCAGACUUUGCUCUGUGAUAUCUGAGCAACGCUCAGUUUUGUUCCCCAAGGACAGAGCCAUGUGGCAGUAACACUUGCUCUGCCCAAGGCUCUGUGAAGGCAGGAUAUUCUCCACUCCACACCAAAAAUUACAGUGAAAGAGAGACCCUACACACCUGGGGUCCCCACCCGAGUUAAU